GCCGGGCGUGGUGGCUCACGCCUGUAAUCCUAAUACUUUGGGAGGCUGAGGUGGGAGGAUUGCUUGAGCCCAGGAGUUCAGAACAGCCUGGCCAACAGAGCAAGACCCCCAACUCUU
rnacentral:SRP_RNA from 1 species